rnacentral:ncRNA from 2 species
CAAUAAAGCCAGUCUUAACUUCGUAUAUCCCCGGCAAUAGGGACCGGGGGUUUCUACCAGGCAACCGCAAAUUGCCCGGCUACGAAGGUAUAUCUUCGUUGC